GACGAACGCUGGCGGCGUGCUUAACACAUGCAAGUCGAACGAUGAAGCCUAGCUUGCUAGGUGGAUUAGUGGCGAACGGGUGAGUAAUACGUGAGUAACCUACCUUUAACUCUGGGAUAAGCCUGGGAAACUGGGUCUAAUACCGGAUACGACCAAUCUCCGCAUGGGGUGUUGGUGGAAAGCGUUAUGUAGUGGUUAUAGAUGGGCUCACGGCCUAUCAGCUUGUUGGUGAGGUAACGGCUCACCAAGGCGACGACGGGUAGCCGGCCUGAGAGGGUGACCGGCCACACUGGGACUGAGACACGGCCCAGACUCCUACAGGAGGCAGCAGUGGGGAAUAUUGCACAAUGGGCGCAAGCCUGAUGCAGCGACGCCGCGUGAGGGAUGACGGCCUUCGGGUUGUAAACCUCUGUUAGCAGGGAAGAAGAGAAAUUGACGGUACCUGCAGAGAAAGCGCCGGCUAACUACGUG
rnacentral:rRNA from 1 species